UGGGGAAUAUUGCACAAUGGGCGCAAGCCUGAUGCAGCCAUGCCGCGUGUGUGAAGAAGGCCUUCGGGUUGUAAAGCACUUUCAGCGGGGAGGAAGGCGGUGAGGUUAAUAACCUUGUCGAUUGACGUUACCCGCAGAAGAAGCACCGGCUAACUCCGUGCCAGCAGCCGCGGUAAUACGGAGGGUGCAAGCGUUAAUCGGAAUUACUGGGCGUAAAGCGCACGCAGGCGGUCUGUCAAGUCGGAUGUGAAAUCCCCGGGCUCAACCUGGGAACUGCAUUCGAAACUGGCAGGCUAGAGUCUUGUAGAGGGGGGUAGAAUUCCAGGUGUAGCGGUGAAAUGCGUAGAGAUCUGGAGGAAUACCGGUGGCGAAGGCGGCCCCCUGGACAAAGACUGACGCUCAGGUGCGAAAGCGUGGGGAGCAAACAGG
rnacentral:rRNA from 1 species